rnacentral:rRNA from 1 species
CCUACGGGAGGCAGCAGUGGGGAAUCUUGGGCAAUGGGCGCAAGCCUGACCCAGCAACGCCGCGUGAAGGAAGAAGGCUUUCGGGUUGUAAACUUCUUUUGUCAGGGACGAAGCAAGUGACGGUACCUGACGAAUAAGCCCCGGCUAACUACGUGCCAGCCACCGCGGUAAUCCGUAGGUGGCAAGCGUUAUCCGGAUGGACUGGGUGUACAGGUCGUGUAGGCGGGACUGCAAGUCAGAUGUGAAAACCACGGGCUCAACCUGUGGCCUGCAUUUGAAACGGUAGUUCUUGAGUACUGGAGAGGCAGACGGAAGUCCUAGGGUAGCGGUGAAAGGAGUAGAUAUUAGGAGGAACACCAGUGGCGAAGGCGGUCUGCUGGACAGCAACUGACGCUGAGGCGCGAAAGCGUGGGGAGCAAACAGGAUUAGAUACCCUGGUAGUC